ensembl:rRNA 5S_rRNA 5S ribosomal RNA
UUUAACAGCCAUAUCACCCUGCAACUCACAACUGGCAGCCCACUGAAGCUCAGCAGGUGUGAGCCUGGUCAGUACCUGGAUGGGAGACCUCCUGGGAAAAACUAAGGUUGCUGCUGGAA